GCCGGUGCCGCUGUCGUCUCUCUCCAGCCGUGGUCAUGAUCAUCUACCGGGACCUCAUCAGCCACGAUGAGAUGUUCUCCGACAUCUACAAGAUCCGGGAGAUGGCCGACAGGCUGUGCCUGGAGGUGGAGGGGAAGGAAACCAGCUUCACAAAAGAAGCCUACAAGAAGUACAUCAAAGAUUACAUGAAAUCAAUCAAAGGCAAACUUGAAGAACAGAGGCCAGAAAGAGUAAAGCCUUCUAUGACAGGGGCUGCAGAACAAAUCAAGCACAUCCUUGCUAAUUUCAAAAACUACCAGUUCUUUAUUGGUGAAAACAUGAAUCCAGAUGGCAUGGUUGCUCUGCUGGACUACCGUGAGGAUGGUGUGACCCCAUAUAUGAUUUUCUUUAAGGAUGGUUUAGAAAUGGAGAGAUGUUAACGAAUUGGGCCAUGACUUUGGAUGUGUCACCUGUUGCCGUAACGGGCUGCUCCUCUUCAUCCACACGACACCAGGACUUAGACAGAUGGGACUGAUGGCAUCUUGAGCUCUUCAUUUGUUUUGACCCUGAUUUAUUUGGAGCGGAGGCAUUGUUUUUAAGAAAAAAACAUGUCAUGUAGGUUGUCUAAAAAUAAAAUGCAUUUAAACUCAAAAAAAAAAAAAAA